GAAGAGGUGGCUCAGUGGGUAAGAGCACUGACUGCUCUUCCAGAGGUCCUGAGUUCAAUUCCCAGCAACUACA
rfam:Mus musculus chromosome 4, GRC primary reference assembly.